CAAUUCCACUGCAUUGUGCAGGCGUCACCUUGGAUUCAUUCCUGUUCUGAAAUUAACAACACAAAAUAACAUGCAAACUGGUUUUAGGGCAGCAGGCACUGGGUAAAGCUGAACAUGCUAGUUAAAGGAGUGCUAACCAAUGCUGUAAAAUACAUUUUUUUAUUUGCUUUAUUAACGUUCUUACUGGUCUACAAGGAGCGAUCAGUACACUUUGUUCAUUGUUUAGAAAAAAGUACCAUUAAAAAUGAAAUGAUGUGUUUACCAUAACGUUUGCAUCUUUCAUAUAGUAAAAUGUGAAACCUAACUGACAGUAAUUAAUAAGAUUUACUGGAAUUAUUUUGUUAGCUCUUGUGGAUUAUACCACGCCUUGAUUUUACCAUUGCUAAAUAUCUUAAUUACCUCCUCCCUGAAAUAGACUAGACUUUUGAGUAAUAUCCUUAACCACAGUAAUGACAACCACUUCAACUUGACCUUUUAGACCAAAACGUGGGGGAGCUGAGGAUGCAACCCAAGGAUCACGUCAUCCUUCUGUGGACCAAUACCACAGAAACUACAAACCUCUUACAAAACUAUCAUUCAGAAAGAGGCCAGGGCUGGAUACAGACCCUAGAUUGCAUGCAAGUGAAACGGACCGCCACAACAUUGCUUGCAACAGCAAUUCUAUGUAACCCUUAGACAAGUUUAUCAUCGUGACGCUCCUAUGACUACUUUGAACUGGGAGGGAAGAUCAAGUCAUUAGUAUUGUUCCCAAACCAUUGACGAUCUGCAGCAUGUCAUCAGAAUGCACUGACAUCUCAUUGGAGACUGUAUGAAAUGGAUAGCUUCCUGAGAAGCACUAUCCGGUUAAGCACUAUCAGUUUGAGCAUGCAGUGUAAUAAAAUACGCUGGUAUCUCUGAACGAGUUCUCAUUUCCUUUGAUAAAGGAAUUCUUAUUCAUGUAUUUGUGUGCGUUGGUUCCAGUUACAUUACUCAUGCUUCAUGCUUCCCAUGGCUGCAUACGUAAUCCCUUAACACCCCUAAAAUGACCUUUUUUGGACAAAAGCUGCCAGUGGGGUCAAUACCAUUUAUCUAAAAACUAUCACUGUUACAGUAAUAGAAAAAAUAGACUGUUUAAAGUCAAGAAAGUUUAAGUACACAAAUGUAGAAUAUCAAGGGAACUUCUUUAAAGAGCCAUAUUUAGAUUCACUGCUGUUUAGAAUAUUGUAAUAACGUGUAAAUAACGUGUUGAAAAAGAGAACAAGCAGGCAAUCCUAACUAGACAAAAAAUAAAUACAACUCAAAACACUAGCAUUGUAGCCUUUUCAAUUUUGAAUCACAGGAAACUAUUUACAAACUACCUCAGUUAUCGUGUGUUUUUGCUUUACCAAGGGUGAACUGCACCAUGCUGGCUUGUUUGGGCCACUUCAACUUGCAGAAGUGUCUGACAAGUAGUAUUUCGUUUAUGUUUUAACCGUGAGUGUCCACCUGCACACGUAGCCAUUUUUGUGUAGCGGGAACCAGGAAUAUUCUUAUGACGUAAUAUGAACGAGAGAGACCAGGGUACGAUGGUACCCCGGGGUACCGUGUGGUGUCUCAUAUCUGUACAAUAUCCAGUAGACUAUGCUAUACUCAAUUUUAGGUAUAAGGUUAAGACACAACACACACACACACUAAAGUAUUAUUUAACCAUUUUAUUCCAUUGAUUGGCGUUUAGGUACCAAACGCUAUUUGAAUGCUGCAUUAAGCACUAUUGGCAUUAUUUUAAGAUAUGCGCAUGCGUCAGCGGUUCAUUGCAUUUUGUCUGUGUGAUUACUUACGCUAUUAUUAAUGUUUUUUUAAAAUGUGAACUCUCGAUAUUAUAAAUGAGAUGUGCUUUUAAAACAUCAAAACACAUCUCAAAAUAAUGCAAAAUUCUGCAUGACACCGUACCUAUUACUAUUAGGUGUGUCGUGAGUCAACAUUUACACACAGAGCAGCAAGAUUAAAUUCCGUGUUGGCUAGAAAGUCUGUGCGCAGUGAAGUAUAGAAUUUAAUCUUUAGGUUUUGAGGUGGCUGAUGAUGUUAUAGAAAAACAACAUAACAAGACUUUGUUUGUCUCCAUGGCUAUUGUGAAGCAAAGCACCACUAAGUUAAAGUAAGCUAUUGCUUUUCAUAUGUAAAUAUCUGUUAACAUCUGUAUAUGUAUGUUUGAUAUUGCAAUUGUGUUAUUAUAUUUCUGUGUUUUGCAAGAUCUCAAUAUUAUAGAUAUCAAAAUAUGUGCAUGAUAUCGACACACAAUUUUCAUAUCAUUGCCCACCCCUAUUUAAAAUGAUUCCAAUGUUAUGAAACUGUCUUGAAGCUAAUCAGAAAGUUGUUUCUUGCUAGUUUGAUGCUGUUUGUAUUACAAUAACAAUUGUGUUAUUAUAGUGCUAUUAUAAUAUAGUAAAAGAUUUGAAACGUUGUUUUAUUACUAAGCUGUUCAACUGUAUGUUUGUAAUAAGAAAACCAAUAUAAGGGGACCCGUUACAUUUGACUUGUCUUAAACUUGAAAUCAUAAUACAGGCAGGAAGCAAAUCCGUCCAGAUCUGCAAGUGUCUGGGUCUUCUUUGUCCUUUAACUGAUUCAGCUGCUGACUGGCCAUAAGCACUGCCAGGAAAGGAGCGCAAAUUUCUAAAAGCUAAUCUGUAUUAUUUUAGCUUACCCUUACAGUUCAGUUACUGGUUGGGUAUGUUUUAAAAUUCAAGAUACAUUUAUCUGAAACUCAAGAAACUUAAGAGGAAAAACUGAGGGGAAAUUGAACUUAUGGGUCUAUAUUUUUCACUAUGGGUACCUUGCAGGCAAAUUGCUCGUUCCAAAGUAAAUGUAUGAAGUGGGCAAUUUGUCCACAGUGGAAAUCAGGCCAUGGGGUUUUAUGCAACUGAACACAGCCUUGAACAAAGAAUACUUACACUAAACCAAAAACGGUCCCCAGACAUCUUGUGUGAAAUGUUACCCAGCUGUAUUUUAACAUCAGUUGCUAUGUUUCCAAAUGAUUUCAAAGCAGAUAAGAAUUGAAGAAAAUGAUCUAGUGUGGCUGCUUUAAUGUGUUUAGUGGCUACAGCAGCUGUGUUGAAAUUAAAAGAAAACACACUUCAA